CCCUACGGGGCGCAGCAGGCCGAGCUUGUCCAGGUUGUCCUUGAGGCCGUUGGUGAGGGCCACGAUGGUGGCGAAGAUCAUGGUCGUCGCGCCCACCACGGCGGUGCCGAUCAGCACCGGCUUCGAGGUCGCCUUGAAGGUGUUGCCCGCGCCGUCGUUCUCUUCCAGGUUUUCCUUCGCCUUCUCGAAGUUCGGGGUGAAACCGAAGUCCUUCUUGAUCUGCUCUUCGAUGCCCUUGACUUCUUCGAUCAUGGAAAGCUCGUAGAGCGACUGGGCGUUGUCGG
rnacentral:rRNA from 1 species